rnacentral:lncRNA from 1 species
UUGGAGGAAAUUCGGGCAUUUUCAUUGAUAUUUGUACAAACUUAACUAAAAACAUAAUUUAAAAUGAAAAUAAAACAAAACUACUACUACUACGCUGCCUUGAACCUUCUACAUGCCGAGAAGCCUGUAGAAGUUGGUGUAGUCGCCACCGUCGUCGUCGUUGCCGUCAUCGUCCUGCACUCCCCUGUCGUCCUUGCCACACCCGUG